rnacentral:ncRNA from 1 species
GUUAACGUGAUGAUAGGAACUAGUAGCAGGAUCUUCUAUCUGCAGAGAGCCGAUGUUUGGUGAAAAUCGGUGGUAGAUGCUUGUGAAUCCAUCCUUGAAUGAAUGGCUGAACAGGGUUUUAAACUUUAAGUAGGCAAUUCCGGCUGUGACCGUUAUUCAUUAAGUGAAAAAUACACUAUGUAUUUUUAACUAGGGUGGCAACGCGGGUAACUCUCGUCCCUUUU